rnacentral:rRNA from 1 species
AAAAUNAGAGUAGUAAUANNNAAGGUCUNGAANCUCNAAGAAUUUGNCGGUANUUUAGUCUAUUCAGAGGAACUUGUAAUUUAAUCGAUAAUCCACGAUGGAUCUUACUUAAUCUUGUAUUUAAAUUUGUAUAUCGCCGUUAUUUGAAAAUUUUAUAAGAAAAAUAAUUUUCUAAAAUUUUUAUUAAAAAAUAAAUCAGGUCAAGGUGCAGUUUAUGAUUAAGUUUUAUAUGAGUUACAAUAAAUUUAUUUAUACGAAUUAAAAAAUGAAAUAUUUUUAAGAAGGNGGAUUUGAAAGUAAAUUUUUAAAGAUAAAAAAAUUGAUUAUAGCUCUAAAAUANGUACACNUCGCCCGUCNCU